rnacentral:lncRNA from 1 species
GUGACUUGUUAUCUUACAUGAAUAACAAACAGCUCUCAGCAUGCUAGAAAGUUAUCUGCCCUUGAGUAAGUGGGUCUUACAGGUUAGAGGCAUUUUUGUUUUCUAAGAUUUCUUAAGCCUUGUAAUUAAAACUUAAAAUAUAACGUUAGCCCUCACACCAGAUUAAAUAUUAACUAAAUCAAACUAGGUUGUAGAUGGGCAAUUGUGGCUGGGAGCUUCUGGAAAUUUCCUCCCUGCUGCAAGGAAGGCAGUGUGGGGAUCAUCUGGGACCGUGAGGGCUACUAUGGUGUGUAGGUUCUCUGGCAGCUGUUCAGCACACAUUCUCUGCUUAGCACAGGGCAGACAGCCAGGGAGAGUCGCUGAAAACUCAUAAGGACUGGGGCAGCCUUGCCAAAGUCUACUUCCCCUUUUAUGAGAGACAACAGAGAGAAAUAAACAUUUGGAGGCUUUGCAUAGCUCUCAACGGUGAGUCAACCCCUUGUCGGCAGAGGGAAAUCACCAAAUUCAGUACCAAACACGAGUUUGUCUGAGCCGCAGAGUGGUUACCCUGGCAUGGGACACUCCACUCUCCUAUCUGAACGUAGAAGGGAUAACUCAUUUGGACAGGGACUUGAAGGAACACUUUUGUCCUGGGAAGUGGAGGGUCCACAAUGCUGUUGUUUCCCUUUCAGGGGAACAUAAGAAGGCAGGUGUGGGGGCUGGAGAGAUGGCUCAGUGGUUAAGAGCACUGACUGCUCUUCCAGAGGACCAGGGUUCAAUUCCCAGCAUCCACAUGGCAGCUCACAACUGUCUGUAACUCCAGUUCCAGGAGACUUGACACUCAUACAGACAUACAUGAAGGCAAAACUCCAAUGCACAUAAAAUAAAAAUAAAUAAAAAUUCAAGAAAAAAAGAAGGCAGACAUGUUAGCAGCUCAUGUUUCAGGAGACCCAUCCCUGUUACCAGGAGGGAAUUCAACUUUAUAGAACUAGAAACCAACAGGAACCAGCCAUGUGGCCUUAAAUAAAGUGAUGUAAAAAGCAGCAGUCUGGAGAGAUGGCCCAGGGGGUAAAACUGCUCGCUCCUCAGUCAUGAGGACAAGCACUUGAUCCAUCACCUUAGAGCAAGUCAGUUUCCCCACAUUCUGAACUCCGUGCACAUGUAUCCAUCACACAGAGACAUUUAAAUACAUAAACUGAGUACUUCCAAGUGAUGAAAGAAAGAAUUCGUUUUCUCACUGUGCCCUGGGAGUUGGUCUGGACUGAAUAAAAGCAUUUUGGCUGUGUCUUCAACCUUUCCCCUCCAUUCUCUUUUCUUCUAUUUAUAGCAUGACUCCUUUGGCACAUGUCUGGCUCAG